GCAAGUCGAACGAGAAAGGCCCUUCGGGGACGAGUAAAGUGGCGGACGGGUGAGGAACGCGUGGAUAACCUGCCCUUCAGCGGGGGAUAACUAUUCGAAAGAGUAGCUAAUACCGCAUAAGACUACGAUUCCUGCGGGUGAUGUAGUUAAAGGCUUCGGCCACUGAAGGAUGGGUCCGCGUCCGAUUAGCUUGUUGGUGGGGUAAAAGCCUACCAAGGCUACGAUCGGUAGCUGGUCUCAGAGGAUGAUC
rnacentral:rRNA from 1 species